rnacentral:tRNA from 1 species
AGGCUCAUAGUUCAGUGGAUAGAACGCAACGCUUCGGACGUUGAAACGAGGGUUCAAUUCCUUCUGAGCCUA